rnacentral:lncRNA from 1 species
AAAAACAAAAAAUACAAUAUUUCUUAUAGAAUACGGAUAACAAUUGUUAAAAAUUACAUUUAUUGUUAAAGAAUAAAACUUAAUAACAAUCAAAACGGGAAAGAAAACAUUAAAAUCUAACAAUGACUAAUACAUUCUAAAAGAAUAAUGUGGUCCAUUUCAAUUUUGUGGUCUGUUCUUCAAGCAUCAACUUCUGUGAUUCCAACAGAAUUGGAAUUCGUCAUUCCAUUCCAAUAGAAUUGGAAUCUCACCAAUAUAUCAUUCAUUGAAUCAUCUACAUAAACAUACUUGAUACCUUUUCAGAAUUCAACAUUGUCAAGAUCCUGCACUGUCCACAUAAAUGAAGUGUUAAAUCAGGAAAAAAAAUUUGAAUGAAAAGCAAAGUAAUCAUUUCCUGUCAAAAGAAUCAGAAAAAGACAAGCUAUGUAGAUGAUCAAACCUUUGCAAAUUAAGGGUCCAUGCGAUAGGAAGAAGCUAAAUCGGAUAAGAAGAAGCUAAAUCUGAUAGGAAGAAGCUAAAUCAGAAUUUUAUAAGGGAAUCCAUGGUUGUUAUUGAUGACAAAAACUUUGUUUUUGAGCAAUUAAGUAAACGCAAAACAAUAAAAAAAAAAAUAUUGGUUCUAAAAGUUUGGAUUCUGCUGCUGUGAAAUCAGUAAUUCAAGAUUCUUCUUCAACUUUUGGGGAUGAAAUAAAAAGGGAAAGUUUAGGGGUUUGGUUCUAAUCAAGUUAGAGGAGAAAUUCAGAGAAACUGUUUCUGAUUCCAACUCUCAAUUCCAUUGAAUUGGCGUUCAAAAUCAAUGAGAUCAGAGAAAAUAUCAGAUGAAACUUCGCAUUUUACAAAACCUUCUGUUGGGAUUCUUGACUUAAGAUCACAAUCAAUGAGAGUUUCCACGCCAACCCAGAUGAAGAAUUCUGUAGAUAACAAAGAAUCAAAAGGAGAAACAUCAUUCACGGAAUAUACACCUCGAGAAUUUAGCUUUGAUUCUUCUUUUGAGAUGAAAUCAUAAAAACACAAAUUUCUCUUGAUUUUAUCAGAAUAUUAACAUCAAAAUCAAAAAUUCAAAAUAAUGCAACACCCGAAACAACAUAUUUCGAUCGGAAGACAUUGAUAAAUAAAGGAAGAAAUAGAGGUGGAUCUGGAGGGAAUACCUUGGGCGCAAUGAUAUGCGUGUGUGUGUUUGCGCGACAACUGGGGAAGCAACGAUUGGGACCAUCGACUAAUUAGAAGCAGAUAAUGGCCACAAUGAUCGGAAGUAUCAGGGAGGGAAGGCUAGCUCGAUUGUGAAUGGAGGGAUGAAGACGAUUUGUGGAAGACGAUGACCUGUUGUAUAUAAAAAAAGAAAUUAGGUUACAAGUGAAUGUUAGCGUGAUUACAUGGACUAUUUGUGGAAGAUAUUUAUCAAAUUAUUAAAAUACCCUUGUUUAUUUAUUUAAUUAUUUAAAUUUUUAUUUAAUUAUGAUUGGCCCACAUUUAUGCAUACAAAAACACAAUAAUUACUUUAAACAUUUGAAUUUAUCUCUCUCUCUCUCUAUCUAUCUAUCUAUAUAUNNNNNNNNNNNNNNNNNNNNNNNNNNNNNNNNNNNNNNNNNNNNNNNNNNNNNNNNNNNNNNNNNNNNNNNNNNNAAAGUCAAAGAUUUGGUCUAUGAUUUGUGGUGAAUGCAAUGAUAUAAAAUAAGUAUUAUCCGAAUGUGAGGAUUUAAUAAAAGAAUUAAGAUAACCUAAUUAAACAAUAUCCGUCACCAUAUCAUAAACUCCCCUGCAUAUCCCGUGAAAGUGCAAAAUCUAACAGUAAUGGAGUUUGUGAUUAUCGCGUUAGGUCUGUUCUCAUCUUGCGCACUUAUCGGAAUCAUUUCCACAGUUUUUGGUAUCGGUAAGCCCAAGAACCUACCUCCAGGCCCAGCCCCGCUGCCGAUCAUCGGAAACCUCCACUUGCUCGGCGACCACCCACACCAAUCCCUAGCCAAUCUAGCCAAGAUCUAUGGCCCAGUUAUGUUCCUUAA